rnacentral:misc_RNA from 1 species
AAGUCGUAACAAGGUUUCCGUAGGUGAACCUGCGGAAGGAUCAUUAGAAUGAGAGCCGGACCAUGUCGUGGGCGAAAGCUCGCACGUGCCAGUAAGCGCCGUAAACCCUGCCAACCCCUUUGCUCCGUUGAUUUGAAUUUCUUUCCUUGUUUGCUUUGGCAGGCCGCGACCCUCUGGGGGAGCGCUGGCUUCGGCUGGAGAGUGCCUGCCAGAGGACCAAACUCUGUAAUUUAAUGCCGUCUGAGUACUACGAAAAUAGUUAAAA